CCAAAAUUGCUUGCUUGGAUGGAGCAAUCCGUUCUGCAAACACACCCCCUCUGCGUACCUGUACACUGUUGCUUCCGUCGGCCUGCGGGUCGCGGCCCCGCCACUCGCGGUGUCUGCGGCCCCCUCUGGUGCCUGACUGAAAAGGGUCGGCUGGGGAGCUGCUGGCGGCAAGCCAAACCACAAGACUCUGUUUAGUUACGUUAGCUAGUCUGAGCUUAGAUGCUAAAAACGAUAAUAAAGUUA
rnacentral:misc_RNA from 1 species